rnacentral:misc_RNA from 1 species
UCGCGACCGCAGCGAUCACGAAGGUGUCGUCGCUGCUCUCGCGCCUCAUCAGCCCACUUGUUUUUCUCCUCCCAGCAAUGUCGCUGGGCGCGCACGGUCACAAGCGUUUCGUAUCGCACAACGCCGAGGAGAGGAGAGAGCACCAUACUGAAUAGCAGGCGGAUUCUGUCGCUCACAUCACUUAGUGGCAACAGUGCCGCGGAUGCUGCACCGCUCGCUCACGCUUCACGCGUCGCGUCCGCGACGUCGACUUGUCAGUGGAGCCAGCCAGCUGCCGAACAGUCCCGUCUGUGGGCUGUUCCGCCCAAGUCUUCUCCUACUUGCUUCCUCCGCCAUUUCUUGUAGCUCAGGCCAUAGCACCAACGGUGGUGCAGAACGCGAGGCAGAUGCCGCGGUGCGAAAGGUGCGCAACAUCGGCAUUGCGGCGCACAUCGACGCCGGUAAAACGACCACGACAGAGCGGAUGCUCUUCUACGCCGGCGUCACGAAGCGCGUCGGCGACGUAGACAGCGGCACGACGACGACGGACUUCAUGAAGGAGGAGGCGGACCGCGGCAUCACGAUUCAGUCCGCCGCAGUCUCCCUGCGGUGGCGGGAUCACGGCAUCAACCUGAUCGACACCCCAGGCCACGUUGACUUUACUGUUGAGGUGGAGCGGACGAUGCGGAUUGUAGACGGUGUCGUGGCUCUGUUCGACGCGUCUGCCGGUGUGCAGGCGCAGAGCUACACGGUACUGCAGCAGAGCCGCAGGUUUAAUGCGCCGCUAAUCGCCUUUCUGAACAAGAUGGACAAGUAUAACGCCGACUUCGCCAUGUCGGUAAACUCGAUACGCACCAAGCUGCAGGUAGAGCCGCUGCUGCUGCAGAUCCCGCUCCACGCCGAGGACGGCAGCUUCGCUGGCGUGGUCGACGUCGUAGAGCAGGUGACGUGUCGCUUCGACGGCGAGCACGGCCUCGAGGUGCAGCGAACAGACCUCAGCACUGUCGGUGCCACGCCGUCUUCGACGGGCGACGGUGACAGAGUUGCGGAUCGUGAACUGACGCACGUGACUCGCCCCAUGCGCAAAGCGCGCCGCGACCUCAUCGCUCAGCUCACCGCUGUCGACGAUGCGCUCUCGGAGGCAUUCAUAGCGGAGUUGGACGCCACCGACGGCGAUGAGGCCGAGGCGGAGCGGCGCCUCUCCACUGAGGCGCUGCGCUCCGCCGUGCGUCGGUCCGUGGUGCACCCGCCACGCGAUAGACCGCCGCUCGUCCCGGUUCUGUGCGGCGCCUCUCGUCGUGAUCAAGGCGUGCAGCCGCUGCUCGACGCCGUGACGUACUACCUGCCUUCUCCAUGUGACCGGCAGCUGACCGGGUUCACGAAGGAUGGGAUACCAGUACCUCUUCCACCUGCCUCGGCCGCGCCGACGGUGCCGACGGUGGCCCUCGCCUUCAAGGUAAUGCACAUGAUGCACCCAGGCAAGGGGCAGCGCCUCCCGCUCGUGUUCUUGCGUGUGUACAGCGGCAGGAUCAUCCCGCGCAUGCGCCUCGAGAACAACAGUCGGCAGAAGUCAGAGGUUAUCGAGAAGCUCUAUGUGAUGCACGCAAACCACCCGGUGGAGGUGCCGAACUUAGAGGCUGGCCAGAUCGGCGCGGCCUUCUUGACACACACAUACACCGGCGACACCCUGUUCAGUCAGCCCUCGCACCACCUUCUGCAGGCAAAGCAGCAUGUGAGGCGUGGCGACGUUAAGGAGGAGGUGCACACACUAGAGGGCAUCAGCGCCCCACCAGCUGUCAUCUCCUUCUCCAUCGAGGCUGCCACACGCAACCAGGUGGAGCUGCUCAAGAGCGCCCUGGCCGAGCUCUCCAGGGAGGAUCCGAGCCUGCGUGUCACGGAGAGCGAGCAGGGAACGGUGGUGGUGAGUGGGAUGGGGGAGCUACACCUGGAAAUUGUCAUGUCGCGACUCGCGAACGAGUACCAGGUGAAGUGCCGGCUUCUGCGCGCCAUCAUCGAGUAUCGGGAGACGAUUCGAGUGACCCAGUCGGUGGAGAGGCACACCUGCUUAUUGAACGACCUACCCUACGCCGAGUGCUCGCUCGAGCUGCGGCCGCUGCUGGAGAACGGAGAGCGGUGCAGCACCAAGGAUAAGUGCCGUUUCCGCAUUGACAGCGCCUUUGAAGAGGAGUUUCUCAGCGGUGGGAGACAGCAACAGCAGCAGGGCGGUGGCCUCUCCAGUUGGUCGCGUUUAAGUGACGUGCGCAACGCCAAAGAGGAGCUGCGCCUCAUUGCAGCGUCCUUCCAGUCCGCCGUUGAUGCGUGCAUGCGGUUGGGUCCUCUAGCGGGGUUGCCGAUGCACGGUGUGGAGGUGGUGCUGACGUACUUCCGCAAGACGGCCGGCUCACAGCUCCAGGAGAGGUCGCUGACCCACGUUGCCCGCUCAGUGCUGCUGAGUUUGCUCAAGGCGACCCGCAAGGACGACCUGGCGCUGCUGGAGCCGAUGAUGGAGGUGGAGGUGCACCUUUCCGAGUUCACUUACAUCGGCAAAGUUGUCAGCUCCCUCAACGAGCAUCAUGCGCUGACCGUUGACGUGCAGGAGGAUGGCCGGUCCGUGACAGCUGUCGUGGCCAUGCGCAACACCCUUCGCUACACAAUGGAGCUGCGAAAAGUCGUGAAGGGGCAUGCAAAUAUGUUUGUGAAGUUGCACGACUACCGCGUUGUGGAGGAGAAGGCUGUGCUGACGCGCAUCCUGAAGAACCUCGGCAUCGUAGACUAGCUUUCUACCCCCACCCUCUCGCGCCCUUGGCCAGCGUGGAGGCGGCGUCGGGCGGCGCCUUCACCUUUCUUCACCCGGUUAGCGCGUGUGGCCCCUUUGCUUGGCCACGUUUGGCUCUUUCUUUUCGGUCUCUCUCUCCUGCCCAUCGUCUGUUUUAUACCGCACCGCUAAGGGGGUGCGGUGCUGGCGGCGAUUUGACGAGCGGGGGUGGGCGAGAGAAAAGGGCGUGGGGCGCCUCUCGCGGUCUGCUCGCGCGGAACACUCAGUCGCACAAGCUUGGGAAACAGCAACGAAAAACGGAAGACGGCCCACUUGAAGAAGGUAUGCGCUUCGCCAUGGAGCACGUGCCGAUGCGCGGGGGCACAAAGAAGCACGAGCGCGUUCGUGUUCUGAGCUGUCGCGGCCUCGUCGCACGCGCUCUCUUUUUUUUUUUCAAGCGGGCCGCUUUCUGGAUGGGCUUGCCGUGCCUCCUUCCACGUCCCAUCCCUUCGGCACUCGGCUGCCUCACCCCUUCGG